rnacentral:lncRNA from 1 species
CCCGAAUUAGAGGUACCCACUUAUGGGUGGGUAAAUUACUGCAAGAGAAGAUCAAGGAAGUCACUCGCCAUCUGUGAGGGAGGCAGCGGAGCCCCAGAGGCACUGGGGAGAGGCAGCUGGGCCUCGAGCUUGUGGUUGCAGAUUGGAGCUGGCCAGGUGCUCCUGAAUGCUUUCAUCCAUUUAAGGAACAUUUACGGCACUGUGAGAGAGGAUGCCAAGGAUACCAAGAGACCUGCCAAGGAUACCAAGGAUGCCAAGAGAUCUGAUGCAUAGUCUUACCCUCAAUGGGCUUACAAAGUACUGGGGGGAGACUCCGAUCCGGCCGCUGCCAUGUUGGCCACCAAGGGUAUGGGUUUGGUGGCCUCUGAGCAAAAUGCCUGCCUUUGGCAGGGAGACGGACCUAGCUCUGCUGCUGACCAGCAGUGUGGCAUUGGCCAACCAUCCUAAACUUCUUGCAUCCUUAUCCAUAAAGGGCAACACGAGAGCUAUCAUUUACCACCUGCCUGCAGGGUUUCAGCUGUUUCACAGUCAUUACUAUAGGGAAUUCUCACAACACACUGAAGCCAGUAUUAUUUCCAUUUAACAGACGGGAAAACUGAAGCUCCAGUAAGCAAGUAGCUUGCCCCGUUCACUCAGUAAGUGGCUGAGGACAGAACUAAAUCCAGCAAUGUUUGGCUUCUAAACCCGAGUUCUUUCCAUUCCUGGAUUCUGCCUCACAGGCCUGUUGUGAAGAUUAAAUGAGAUUUUUAACGCAAAAUGCCCAGAACAAAGGCUGGAUGGCAGCAGUGUCCUGGUGAGAAGUAGCUACUGUGAUCCUGAAGGGUGUCCUCCCUCCACCCAUCGCUCCCCCCACAGCACCACGCACCUCCCACGUGAAACAUGGGGGCUG